rnacentral:rRNA from 1 species
UACGUAGGGUGCAAGCGUUGUCCGGAAUUAUUGGGCGUAAAGAGCUCGUAGGCGGUUUGUCGCGUCUGCUGUGAAAACCCGAGGCUCAACCUCGGGCCUGCAGUGGGUACGGGCAGACUAGAGUGCGGUAGGGGAGAUUGGAAUUCCUGGUGUAGCGGUGGAAUGCGCAGAUAUCAGGAGGAACACCGAUGGCGAAGGCAG